rnacentral:rRNA from 1 species
UACGUAGGGGGCUAGCGUUAUCCGGAAUUACUGGGCGCAAAGGGUGCGUAGGUGGUUUCUUAAGUCAGAGGUGAAAGGCUACGGCUCAACCGUAGUAAGCCUUUGAAACUGGGGAACUUGAGUGCAGGAGAGGAGAGUGGAAUUCCUAGUGUAGCGGUGAAAUGCGUAGAUAUUAGGAGGAACACCAGUUGCGAAGGCGGCUCCCUGGACUGUAACUAACACUGAGGCACGAAAGCGUGGGGAGCAAACAGG